UCUUGUGGCCAUAUGCAGUGUUCCAACCUUUAACACUGCUUUAACACUCCUGUCUGGUCUUAAAGCUAAGCAGGGUCAUUCCUAGUUAGUACUUGAAUGGGAGACUGCCAAUGAGCACCAGGUGCUGUGAGCU
rnacentral:rRNA from 11 species